CAGGCGUGAGCCACCGCACCCGGUGAUGCCCAAUCUUUAGAUGAAACCUCCUCUCUGUCUGGCCCAGGGCUGGGUGGUCACAGAGUCAAGGCUCAGUCUGCAUUAUUUCCUUGGCCUCUCCCCCGGCAUCUUCUGCACCUCACUCUGCACUCCCCGAUCCCUCCAGGUGAGCCCAGGACCUGCCACACUGUGCCAGCCUCGCCCAAGCCACCCCCCAGCCAGGACGCGGUCUUUCCUGACUCAGCAGGCUGAGGCACCUGAGGCUUUCAUUUUAAUUAUGAACCACUUCAAAGCCUUUCUGGAAGCAGUCUCUGCAAUAACCAACCUGGGUUCUCUCCUAAUGUGGGGAUUGUCCUGGAGCCCAGGCCUUCCAAGGCUCCUCCGCCCGCCAACAUCACCUACCUCAUCUUCCUCUUCAGCACAUCCCCAACAUUGUCUAAGCGGUAACUCACCUGAGCAAAGCACUUGACACGGAUUCAUUCAUUUACUCCUCACAACAACCUGAUGAGGUAGGUACUAUUAUGUCCAUUUUACAGGUGGCAAAAACAAGGCCUAGAGAGGUGAAGUAACUUAUCUGUCUAAGGUUACACAGGUUGGUAGUGGGCCCAAGGUUCAAAUUCCAGCAGUCAGGCUGGGCGCGGUGGCUCAUCCCUGUAAUCCUAGCACUUUGGGAAGCUGGGGCGGGUGGAUUGCCUGAGGCCAGGAUUUCAAGACCAGCCUGACCAAUAUGGCAAAACCCCAUCUCUACUAAAAAUGCAAAAAUUAGUC
rnacentral:lncRNA from 1 species